rnacentral:rRNA from 1 species
GACGAACGCUGGCGGCGUGCUUAACACAUGCAAGUCGAACGAUGAAGCCUAGCUUGCUAGGUGGAUUAGUGGCGAACGGGUGAGUAAUACGUGAGUAACCUACCUUUAACUCUGGGAUAAGCCCGGGAAACUGGGUCUAAUACCGGAUACGACCAAUCUCCGCAUGGGGUGUUGGUGGAAAGCGUUAUGUAGUGGUUAUAGAUGGGCUCACGGCCUAUCAGCUUGUUGGUGGGGUAACGGCUCACCAAGGCGACGACGGGUAGCCGGCCUGAGAGGGUGACCGGCCACACUGGGACUGAGACACGGCCCAGACUCCUACGGGAGGCAGCAGUGGGGAAUAUUGCACAAUGGGCGCAAGCCUGAUGCAGCGACGCCGCGUGAGGGAUGACGGCCUUCGGGUUGUAAACCUCUGUUAGCAGGGAAGAAGAGAGAUUGACGGUACCUGCAGAGAAAGCGCCGGCUAACUACGUG